GGACGAGGCCCUCCGGGAACUCGACAGGUCGACCGAUGAGCUCUUCAAAGUUAUCGUCAUUCCUAGCAACAAAGAUUGCUCCGUUCAGCGGGAGUUGCCACUCGAACAGCUGGCACUGAAUCUGCUCAAGAGCCUGGUGUUUGAUGGCAUCGCUGGAUGCUUGGAGACCCUGGGCAGG